AGCUUGCCAAGAACUUGUUCUCCACUACAAAAUCAUAUGAUAAUUCACUGUUUACUGAAAGUUUGACUGAGCCCAACCAGGGAUAUGAUUUAGAAGACAGCAAAGUAUUGUGGAAGAUGCCUUAGUUUUAGAAUCAAACAGAUCUAGGUAUGAUUCAUGGUCUGCCAAUUACUAGCUAUGCACUCUUAGGUAAUUUAAUUAAUAUCUCUAAAUUUUGAUUUCCUUGCCCACUGACUGCAUUAUGUUGUAAUUCUUUUUUUAUUUAUUUGUCUGUCUGCCAAUCCAAGGGUUUAUUUGUAUAUGCCUAUCUCACUACAAAUAGCUGAUGAAGUAAUUAAUGAGAUAAUGAACAUCAAGUGUCUAGUCCACCUGGAGCCUUUAAGAUAUUUAAUAAAAGUUAAUUCUCCAUUGUGUUUACUUUUUUUUUUUUUUUUUUGUCUUUUCUAGGGCCACUCCCAUGGCAUAUGGAGAUUCCCAGGCUAGGGGUCUAAUCGGAGCUGUAGCCAUCAACCUACGCCAGAGCCACAACAACUCGGGAUCUGAGCCGCUUCUGAGAUCUACAUCACAGCUCAUGGCAACACCAGAUCCUUAACCCACUGAGCAAGGGCAGGGAUCGAACCCGCAACCUCAUGGUUCCUAGUCAGAUUUGUUAAACACUGCGCCACGAUAGGAACUCCGUGUUUAUUUUUUUCUUAUUCCCUCUCCUUCUGAGAAUUCUUUUCACAAAGUCAAAGCAUUUGUCUGAAGAGCUGACCAAAAUGUGCAAUAAUAAGGCAACUUCAAUAUUAUAAUUCCUAUGAGGGCAAAAGUGUGAAGCUUGCCAAUCUAAACAUUAGACCUAUGCUAUCCAAACUGGUGGCCACCUAAGGUUCUUGAAGACUUGAAAUUAGACUUAAAUUUAGACUUAAGAACGUCUAAAUUGAGAAAUACAUAUACAUAUAUAUAUAUAUAAUGCAUUAGUUUUAUAUGGUUUCUCUCUAUGAUGAGGUCUCUUUUUAUCAAAGUAUAAUUAAUAUACAACAUAAUUUUGGCUGUACUAUAUGAGGUAACCUUUGCAUACUUUAUGAAAUGAUCACAACAAUAUGUGUAGCCAUCAGUUCUCAAAGUUACUAUAAUAUUUUGAUAAUAUAUAUAUACACACACAUAUAUAUAUGAUACAAGAUUUCACAGAAUUGGCAUAAAAAAAGAAUACAGAAGAUAAAAUAUCUCACUAAUACAUUUUUAUGUUGACUAUGUGUUGAAAUUGUAGAAGUUCAGAUGUGUCAGCUCGAACAAAUUUAUUAUUAAUUUCACCUGUUUCCGUUUCUUAAUGUGGCUAUUAGAAAACUUAAAAUGAUACAUGUGGCUCACAUUUAUGAGUAUCUUUAUAUUUCUAUUGGACAGCAUUGAUUUAAGUCAUGGGGCUUUAAUACCACAUUUGCCACCAAGUAAAUAGUUUUAUAUUUUAACUCUAUUUGGCUACCUUAAAUAUAGCAAUACCAAUGGCCCCACAUUAAUGCAUUUUCAAGUCAUUUUAAUAACUACAGAGAGGACAGCAAACCCUCAGUGAACUUGACUGCAUAAAUGUUCAAGAAUUAUUUUAUUUCAUUAUUCUACUUGCUCUCAAAUAUUUAAUUUGUGAGGGUCAUCCCUGUACCACCAUUUGGGGCAUACUCUUAGGCCAUUGCCUUUUACUAUUGAUUCAUUUACAGUCUCUUUCUUGUAAUUGGGUUCACACUUCUGUGAGGACAUUUGUUGAAUACAGCAGUCAACAUUCAUAGUUCAAAUUGGUCCAUCUAGAGACCCUCACCUCCCCACUCCCAGUGGACAACAACACUAGGCUCUUACAAACUGAAUUAAUCAGCCUACUCUAAAAUACCUGUUUAUUACUUUCAUGGAGUCAGCCAAUAGCCGAGUCAACUCAAUCAAUUAAGAAGUUAAUGAAUGUUUGUUCUACAUUCAGCACUGCAGUAAGCACUCAACAAAUACUAAAUGAAUAUGAGUCUUAAGAAUUGGAACAUACACUUAAGAACGUUUGUCUAGCUAGGAAAAUAAAGCUAACUAAAAUACAAGAAGUAAUCAGAGAGAAAUACUGUGCUACAAAGAUGUUUCUGAAUUUACGCAUUAGAGUUGAGAAAGAAAUAUCAACUUGAUAUUUAAUCAACAGUAUCAAAGAAAUAGCAACAUCAAGUAGAAUUUCAAAAUGAGAAGGUUAAAGAUACUAACCGAUGAAAAAACCCAAGGGAGUUAACAGUGAGAUGGAUGUUUAUUCACCAAAAUCUCUUGGUCUGUAAAGGUACAAUCAUGAAGGCCUGCUCUGUUCUCCCUAUUUACAUGAAAAGUAGAAUGCCAAAUACAGGGCAUUCAGCAAUCACUGACUUAAGCCAUCAUCCUCAGCCAAAAAUAUCUCCCACACGCGUGGGAGCGGCAGCCAAGGUGUUUUGGUCAGGCACUGUGAAAUUGCCUUGGCUGACUAGGCUUUAUGGGAUUCCAGCAAGGAAAUAAUACCCUGUCUUCUUGCUCCACUACAUGCACUCAAAAGAAAGAAGUGAUAUCAAAGAUUCCAAAACAUCCUAUCACGCAUUGUGCUCCAACUCUCAAACAGUACAAGGUAAAGAAGUAUAAAUGCUUCUGGCCACUUUCAUUUUCCAACCAAUAAAAGACAACAUUGGUUAAAAUGUUGAAAGAAAACAUGGCAGCUUACAUAAUAAGUUUAAGCAAGUGAAAAAAUCUCUUGGAUGGGACCACUUCACUCUAUAAACAUUGUGUUUGUUUAGAAGCCACAGCAAAUUCUACUACUCAUCAGGGAUUGCUAAUGGUGGGGGCUGAUGUGCAGUGGAGUGAUGCCCUAGUGCACAAAAGUAGGCAGAAAAGGUCAAGAGCAGGGUAUGUGUCCUGAUUAUACCUGGUAGGUAUUAGUUUAGUCAUUAAGGUUUUUUCUUGUCUGAGGUGAAGCAUUUCAAAACCCUUAUGCUCUUCUUUUACUAGCAUAAGUAAGUAUAGUAUGAGACCAAUAAGGAAUGAAAAAAACCUUGCAUCUAGCUGACAAGCAAGACUACUUCAUGGUUUCUCUUUGCUAUUAAAUUAAAUGCUACAGGGGAGUAUGGUAAAGAAAUAAAAGUAGUAAAUCUAGAGUUAGUUUUGCAUUUUGGUUUAAGCAUAGGCAAUUUAGCUGAAGCUCUCCAAGUCUUAGUUUCCCCAUUAGUACAAUGGGACUGAUAAUAAUGUCUACCUCAUACAGUCAUUAGGAGCAUUAAAUAGUAAAUCUACCUGAUACAAUGCUUGAUACAUGAUAAGCUUUACUGUAUGUUAGCUAUUUAUUAAUAUGUUUAUUCCUGUCCUUGUUCCUAGUUCUUUGAUAUUAUCUGUAGUCUGGAAUGGGAAUCAAUGCCAAGGUUCUGGGGCAUUUGGGCUUCCCUUAUAUCACAUGGGAUGGUCUCAGCAUCUAUUCCUGAGUGCAGAAACUCCACAUUAAAUAAGCCCACCUUCAGGGCACCCUAGAUUUCAUGUAACGUAAAUAGCAUACAUGUACAAAUAUGCAAAAGUGAUAAUUGUUUUUCUUUGGUGAAUCUGGGAUUUCUUGCAGAUAAUUUUUUUUCUUUGCUUUUUAUGGCAGCACCCACACAUAUGGAUGGAGGUUCCCAGGCUAGGGAUCGAAUCAGAGCUACAGCUGCCAGCCUAUACCACAGCCACAGUAACACAGGAUCCAAGCCAUAUCUGUGACCUACACCACAGCUCACAGAAACGCCGGAUCCUUAACCCACUGUGCGAGCCCAGGGAUUGACCUCUCAUCCUCAUGGAUCCUAGUUCCUGAGCCAUGAAGGGAACUCCCUUGCAGAUAAUUCUUAAUUCAGUUUCCUGAUGUUUCUAAUAUUAGCAAACAACAGGGUGGGGAGAAUGUGUGCAUUUGGGGGGAAGGAAAAAUUGGUGAACUGGCAUUAGCAACUUUGAAGAGAAAGAAAGAAGUUAACCUUAAAAUAUAUGGGUAACAACAAAUGCUGGGCAUAAGAGUUUGUAAAUACUUAGUGCUGGGAUAAAUCCUAGAGAUAUCUAGUUCAAUUCCCCUUACCAACUUCACACAGCCAGAAAAUGAGACUCAGCAUAGUUAAGUGACCUGCCCAGAUUCACAGUGUAAGGUCUGGGCCAGGACAGAGGGAAACUCUGGCAACUUCUGGUGUGUGUUCCACAACAGUGUCUCUAGAGCUGAGGAACUAUUUUCUUAAAUAGCUCAAAUUGAACAUUUAAUUUAAGCAUCUUUUAAAAGUAGAGUCAAUGUUCUUUCCCUGACUUCCAAUUAACUGAAAAAAGUUUUUUCCAAACAUUAUAAAUGUGAGUGUCUUAGUCCAUUGGACUGCUGUAACAAAAUACUAUAGACCAGGUGGCUUAUGAGCAAUAGAAAUUUAUGUCUCACAGUUCUAGAGACCGGGAAGUCAAGACCAAGGCCCCGGUAGAUUUCGUGUCUGUUGAGAUCUUCCUUCCCGGUUCCCAGUCAGUGUCUUUUCACUGUGCUCUCACAAAGCAGAAGAAGAAAAGGACCUCUGUGGGUCUCUUCUAUAAAGGCACUAAUCUCAUUCAUGAGGGCUGCACUCUAGUGACCUGAUCACCUCCCCAAAGCCCUACCACCUAAUCUAAAACCAUCACAUUGAAGGUUAGAAUUUCAACAUAUGAAUUUUGUGAGGAUAUAAAUAUAUUCAUAUUAUAACAGUGAGAGAUCAGCAACUUUAAAAACAGGUAUUCUUUCCUCUCUUUGAAAUUUGAGUGAACAGGGUGCAGCUGCUUGUUGUUUUCUAUGUAUUCUCUUUCCUCUUCCUCUUCUAGGCAUUUGCUUCUAAUAGUCUCCCUACCUGGCACACCCUUUCUUUCUUUUCCUCAUGUAUCUGAACACUCUUUCCUUUACAGAUCAGGUCAAGCAUCUUUGAAUCAACCGCUGAUUCUCCCAAGUUUCUGAAUGAGACUCCUCUCUUUUGAGCUCCCAUUUUUCUUUUCUUUUCUUUCUCCUUUUUUUUUUUUUUUUUUUUUUCAUUUUCUUUUUUUAUGGCCACACCUGUGGCAUAUGGAAGUUCCCAGGCUAGGGCUUGAGUCGGAGAUAUAGUUGCCAGCCUAUACCAUAGCCACAGCAACUUGGGAUCCAAGCAGCAUCUGUGAUCUACACCACAGCUCAGAGCAACUGAUCCUUAAUGCACUGAGAGAGGCCAGGGAUGGAACCUGCAUCCUCAUGGAUACUAGUUGGUUUCAAUACUGCUGCGCCACAAGGGGAACUCCCGAGCUCCCAUUUUUCUUUAUUGGUGUUUCUCUAAAGGUACUUUUCACUUAUAACAUUAUUUGAAUAUUUUAUAUCCCCUAUAGUAUCAAGCACAAUGUCUCAUGUGUUCAAUAGUUUUUUUUUAGAAAAAACAAAUGAGUCUAUAUCUCAUUUGAAAACACCUUUGCCCAACUAGAAAGGACCAUUGCCAAUAACACAGAUCCUUUCAUAGCCAGGGUCAUGAAUCUGAAACACUGUCUCUCAACAAAAUAAUUUGUGAGAAUUAAAUGCUACUUAAAAAAAAUUAGCUUAUUUUCUUAUUGUUCAAAUAAAAUGCGAUAUUGUCAUUUAAUACUGAGAAAUCAUCAGGAAAUAUUACAACCCUUGAAAAAUGUCAUCUUUGGAUCAACAUUAAAUUCAUCAUAAUUUAAUUAUACAUGUUAACUAUAGUAUUCAUAGAAACCCAAUUAAGCUUAAUUCUAAUUUGAUCUAGAAUUUUGACCCUUUUUCUUACAACACAGCGAGUGAGAACGGAGGGCAGGAGAGAAGUGCACCCAAGAAAGCCAGAGGCAACAAAGGCCUACUGCAAGAGGCUUAAUUCCAUUACAUAGCUUACCUUGCGGAUUUGCAGGAAAAGAAAUGUGUGUGUGUAUAAAUAAUACUUUAUAUACAAAUGCAGUCUUUAAAAUGCAGACUUUUACUAUUAUAUUUAUUUACUUUUGUAAAUAAAUCUUUGAAUAGAAAGAAUAAGUAUUAUUAACUCCAUUUUACAAAAGACUGGGACACAGAAAGAUUAUUUACUUCAGGUCAUACAUCUAAUGAAUUUAGUUCUUGAGAUUACUUCUAAUACGUCAACUGACUCACAGCCUUUGCAUCUUUCUACUACUCUAUUGUGACUUAAGAAAAAUUGUACUCUUGUACAUAUCUACAUUUCAAUGUGAAAAACAUCUCUUGAGUAGCAGUAGCAGCAGCAGCA
rnacentral:lncRNA from 1 species